rnacentral:tRNA from 1 species
GCCGCUGUAGCUCAGCUGGUAGAGCGGCGCUUUCGUAAAGCGUAGGUCACCGGUUCAAGUCCGGUCAGCGGCUCCA